rnacentral:lncRNA from 1 species
UCUAAAUCCCUUAAUGGUAUUUUAUUGGGUUGUUUUGUUUUUUUGGUUUUUUUUUUUUUUUUUGGUACCAGGGAUCCAACUCAGAACCUUGAGCUUUUGAGGCAGGCAGCGGAACCACUGAGCUAAAUCCCCAGCCCUCUUAAUGGUAUUUUAAGUGAACACGUUUUAAUUUGAAUGUUGAUCAACGUUUUCUUUUAUCAUUUGUGCUUUGUAUCCUGAUUUUUUUUCUUUGUAUCCUGCUUAAGAAAUCUUUGUGAUCUAAAGAUUAUGAAGAUUUUUCUUCCAAAGUCACAUUCUUUUUACGUUUUCCAUUUGGAUAUGUGACCCAUCUGAAAUUGAUGUGUGUAAGGUAGGGUCAAGAUUCCUUUUUCCAAAUUAAGACAUGUUAUGUACAUGUACCAGCUCCUCACAAGGAACGUAAGCAUUAUGUCAUACAAACGAGCACUAAAAAAAGAAUAUAAUGAGGCACUCUAAAAUGGUUAAAACAGCAAAUAAUCAUGUAUAUUUUAUCACAAAAAUAUCACAAGUAGCCCACAGAGUCAUUGUAAAGUUUAAAAGACAAUAUAAGGCGCUAACACCUACAAAUGCUCAGAAAAUGUUGGCUAUCAUUGCCCUCAUUUUGCCCCUCUUCCUCCUCAUCAUGAGGUUUUCCCAUUCAGAAAGGGAUCUUAUCUCAGAGGGCUAUCAAUCCUCCAACUGCCUAGAAAGAGGGCCUUGGUCUGGCCUUACAAAUAGGAUACAUAUUGUGAACCUUGAGACUAACUGGAUACAUUUUCAAGGCUAACAGAGAGGACAUAACAGAAUACCUGUUGUGAAUACUAAAGCUAACAGGAUAAACAUAUAUAUUUUGUGGUGGCUUACACUGUGAUUAUAUAAAGUAUCACUCAUUGGGAGGGUUUGUGGAUCUGCCUGUUUCUGGAUAAGGCCUGUGAGAAUUCUUAAGGCUUAAAGACCUGAAAGUUGAAAACUUUUUUUUUUUUUUUGAGACGGUCUUGCUGUGUGGUUCAGGCUGGCCCUGAACUCACUAUGUAGCCCAGGCUGGCCUUGAACUUGUGGUGAUCCUCCUGCCUCUGCCUCCUGAGUGCUGGGAUUACAGGUGUGUGCCAGCAUGCCUGGCUAAAAGUUUAAAACUUUAGCAAUAAAACUUCCGAACUGAGAGGAAUGUUCAUUUCUUCUGUGAUCUUUCUUUCCUGCUCAUUUUUAAAAGUGCAUACCAAGCAUUGGGGUUAAAAUGGUCAGCAAGAUAGACAUGAUCUCUGACUUAUCAGAACAUAUUAGAAAAAGAGCUUACCACCUAGGAGGGGAGACUACUACCAGGCCUAUUGGUACAUACCUGUAGUCCCAGCACUAGGGAGGCUCAGGCAGGGGGAUUGCCGUGAGCUCAAAGCCAGCCUGGGCUACACAGUCAGUUCAAGGCCAGCGUGAACUACAUAACGAGACCCUAUCUCAAAAAUAAAUAAAUAAAUACAAACAACUACAACAUGGAACACAUCCUUUUCAGCCCGGAGGCUCAUGGGUAGGGAAGGUUAUCAGGAAGAGCGCAUCAGGAGGAAUAACUCUACACUGAGAAUGAAAGACUGAGUAGGGGUGAAUCAAGGGAAGAGUGGGAAGAGAAAAGAGAUUAAAGAGGACUGGGGAUUUAGCUCAGUGGUUUCGCUGCCUGCUGUGCAAGCGCAAGUACCUGAGUUUGAUCCCCGGUACCAAAAACAAAAAAAAAGAGAUUAAAGAGAAAGGGAGAGAGAGAGAGGGAGGGAGAGAGGGAGAGAGACAGAAACUAUAUGGGAGAGAAGCUUUAGUUUAGCAGAAGUCCAAAGGAAACAGUGGGAGAUGGGUUGGGAAGAGAAAAGAGGCUCUCGUUACAGAAAGUAUUAUAGACAGGCUAAGUUAUGUAGAAAUUCAUAUGCAGUCAGAGAGGGACUGGGCUCUCAAGGAAGUCAGUGCAGAAGAUGAGCACACAUCAGAUCUGGCUGGAGGCACAUCUAAAGAAAGUGAGGCUUGCCAGGGAUUUAGCUCAGGGGUUUCACCGCCUGCUGCCCAAGCGCAAGAACCUGAGUUCAAUCCCCAGUACCAAAAAAAAAAAAAAAAAAGGAGAAUAAAGAAAGUGGGGCCUUGAGAUAAAGUCACAAAGGCUAGACUUGCAUACCUCCCUAAGGGAUGAAUGGAAACUGGAGAUUAUACUGUCAUUGGUACCACCCUGUCCAUUAAAUCCAGAUAUGCAUCAGACACCACAAUGGGUGACCACAACACCUGGACUCAUCCCUUCCCCAAAUUGUUCCUGGUUUAGAAGUCUUUUUUUUUUUCUUUUUGGUACUGGGGAUCGAACUUGGGUCCCUGUGCUUGCAAGGCAGGUGGCAGAACCACUGAGCUAAAUCCCCGGCCCUAGAAGUCUUAAAGAAGCCAAGGUUAGUGAUUUCAGUUGUAUAACCUUGCUAUGUGCAUGCCCCACUUCCCUACUGGAUCAAUAUUAGCUAAGGGACUAUUCUCAUACUCUUAUUGGUUGAUUAUAGUUUGGUCCACAUUGUACCCAUCUUGUGAUUCUGUACCCACCUCGUGAUUUUGCACUAUAAAACAGUAUUGGAGAGGCAGGAAUUUAGCUCAGUGGUACUGUGCCUGUCUCACAAGUGCAAGGUCAUGAGUUCAAUCCCUGGUACUAAAAAAAAAAUUUCUUGGAGAAAUGACCUCUGUGGCAAUCCACCCCUCUGGAGCUAUUUCUCAAUAAAUCUUUCCUACUCUUUUUUUUUUUUUUUGAGACAGGGUCUCGCUAUAUAGUCCAGGCUGGUAUUGAACUCACUAUGCACCCCAGGCUGGCUUCGAACUUGCGGCGAUCCUCCUGCCUCAGCCUCCCAAGUGCUGGGAAUACAGGUGUGCACCACCAUGCCCGGUUUUUUCCUGCUCUUAACCUUCAUUGUUCCUUGGAAUUCAUUCUUCGACUUUGGGUGACAUGAACUCAGCGCAUCUGACAUAUAGCAGUAGCUAUUUGUGGGUGUACAGUAACCCAACAAAAAUGUCUCCAGGAAUCGUCUCAGGCCCACUGGAUGGCACCACACAUCAGGGCCAUUGUCUCAACUCUGUAGCCCUUUGUCCUGGUUCACCGUCCCCUGUUCAGAGAAUUUCCUGGCAAAGAUGCAAAGAGCCACGGCUCAGCAGAUACAACUGUCCUGGACUCAGACUCUGAUGACUCCCCAUUUGUGAGAAGCAGAACAAUGGAAGAAGGCAUGGCCCUCGGGUAUUGCUCAAAUUCAGGACAAGAAGAACCUGGAAAGGAUCUCUAGAAGGGGCCCACAGCACUCCAGAACCCCAGUAAUAUUUUUGGCAAAGCCAGCCAGAAGAUGAGAAGAUCCUGGAAACUAACUCCAGACUCCUUGGACACCUUCUAUCCCCACUGGAUGUCUCAUCCUGCUCCUGAGAGAGGUCCCAGUGUAACCAGCUCCCUCUAGCUCUUGGGUCCUUGUUUGGGGGCAAUGAAAAUUGAAGCUGACAAAUCAGCAAACAGCAAGUGGUGGGGAAUGGUCAAAUGUGUGUUUAUUAGAAAAAAUAAAAGGUGGGCUGGGGAUUUAUUUAGCUCAGUGGUUCUGGCACCUGCCUUGUGAGCGCAAGGUCUGGAGUUCGAUCCCCAGUACCAAAAAAGAAAGAAAAAGAAGGAAAGAAAAAGAAAAAAUAAAAGGAAAAGCCCCCCCAGUAGUCAGGGAGGGGUUCUGUAAGCCGGACACUGUAGAUGUUUAAAUCCAUUGGUGGCAGCUGCUGCUGCUACUUCUUCCUCUUCGUCUUGCUUCUACUUCCUCCUCUUCCUCUUUUUUUUUUUUUUUUUUGGUACCGGGGAUCGAACUCAGAUCCUUGCACUUGCAAGGCAGGCAGUGGAACCACUGAGCUAAAUCCCCAGCCCUCUCUUCCUCUUCUUUGUUGUUGUUGCUGUUUUGUGUUUUGAGACAGGUCUCAUUAUGUAGUCCAGGCUAGCCUCGAACCCACAGUGACCUGCCUCAGGCUCCUGAGUGCUGGGAUUACAGGCAUGGGCCACUACACCUGAUGAAAUCAAGGAAGCUUUUGAUUGUACAAUCUAGAUCUAAUGCCAGUUUGAGGAAUGGGAAAUAUAAUAGAUUGUGGCCAUUAACCCUGUCACCCCUGUGCUUGCUUUCUUCAAUGGCCUGCUCUUACUCUGCGUUGCAUACUUCUUUUCCUACUUUAAUUGGCCCACACUUACUCUAAAGAACAUAUUUCUCUUGCUACCUUUAAUAAAUAUAAAACUUUGCUACCUUUUACACACCUUGACCAAUUCUUUGUUCAGGACAAGAACCUGAAAAGGGUCUCUAGAAGGAGCCUAUAGCAGGCCAGAACUCUGUUCACAGACACAUGGUUUGCUCUCAGUUCCAGUACAGACACAGAAUGCAAUAGACUUUCUCAACCAUGCCUGCCCCACAAGCUCAAGGACCCGAGUUCGAUUCCCAGUACCAAAAAAAAAAGAAAUAGACUUUCUUAAACAUAUGCCCUACGAACCUGUGUGUCAGUUGGUUUGGGUAGUAUUUUGGCUUAGGUAGGAGGUGGUUUAUAUACUUGGGAGUAGAAUUGCUGGGUUAUAAGACAAACACAAAUAUACAUAAUUUGAUUAAAUACAUUUAAAAGACCUACCAGAGAAAUUAUACCUGCAUUAACAAUUUAUGAAAAAUCUUAUUUCUACCACAUCCUCACCAGCCCUUUGAAUUAUCUUGAGUUUCUAACUUGAAGCUGUAUUACAGACAUAAAAUAUUACCUUGUUGUGUUAAUUUGGGUUUCUCUGAUUAGCAGGUCAGAGUUCAUACAGUUUUCACGCUAGAGUCUGUAGUGUUUGUGGGAGAAGAGAAAGAUGUCUCCCAUUCUCUGAGACACCAGUGAAAUGUGUCAGUUGCAUGCUCCCCUUCACUGCCCAAAGCUCGCUGCUCCCUCCUGGAUUCUUGCUUUGUACUUAAGGUUCAAAGUGAUUUCAAAGGUCUUUACGUGGCAACACUUUUUAAGCCUUGAAUAAAUACUUAUUUCAUUCUAGUGUUUACAUGGCAGGAUAGCUAUAGAUGGAAAUCCUAGUUUCAAAGUUCUUUGACUUCAAGCCUUGAAAAUAAUUUUACGUGAAUUUAUGGUUUCCUAAAUACAGUAAUACAUUGCUUUGUUUUGCUAAUUUAUUGUCCAGUUUUUCUCAGUAAAUAAGAAUAGGAGCAACUUGUCUUCUGAAAAUUGUUGUCUUCUUUCUUUUUUUUAUUUUUGUACCAGGGAUCGAACUCAGGAUCUUGCGCUUUCAAGGGAGGUGCCAGAACCACUGAGCUAAAUCCCCGGCCCUGAAACUUGUCUUCACUCAAUAUUAUAGUUCUAGUUUCAUCUAUUUUGUCACCUGUGGCUGUACAUAAUUCUAUUUCCUUCUGCAUAAUAUUCUACUUUUUAGGUAUAUUUGGGGGCUGGGUAUUUGGCUCAGGGGAAGAGGGCAGGUUUAGCAUGUGUGAGGGCCUGGUUCAAACCCCAGUACUAGCCUCCAGAUUACAAUGUAUCCAUUAUCCUGGUGACAAUAGACUAUUUCAUUUUUGUCUUUGAAAGACUAUUGCUAAAUGUAUUUUAUAUGUAUCUCUUAAUGGACACACACAAAAAAGUGUGGAGUAGAAAUGCUAGGUCAUAAAAUUUCCACAUCUUGGCUGUGGUGGCACACGCCUGUAAUCCCAGUACUUGGGAGGCAGAGACAGGAGGAUCACUGCAAAUUCAAGGCCAGCCUGGGCUACAUAGUGAGUUCAAGGCCAGCCUGCAUUACAGAGCAAGACUGUCUCAAAAAACAAAAAGAAAAUGUGCACAUCUUUAAUUGUAUUUGAUAAUACCAGCUUGUUUUCCAAAGGGUUCGUUCCACUUUACUCUCCUGCCAGCUGUAUAUAAGAAUUCUGGUUGACCCUCAUCCUUGAUGACACUUUGUAUUAUUAGGGCUCCUAACUUUGAAGAACAUAAUGGAUGGAAAUUGAUACAGGUACUUCUGGAUCUUAAUUUGCAUUUUCCAAUUAACUACAGGAAAUGAGCAUCUUAUCACUUUAUGGCUGGUUCUUCUAGGAAAUGUCAGUUCAAAUCUUUGCCCAUUUGUCUAUUGGGUUUUUUCUUGUUUGUAAUUUCUUUUUAAAAAACUAUUCUAAGGCCUCAGAUAUAGCUCAGUGGCAUAGUGCCUGCCUGCCUACCUGUCAAGCAGAAGGUCUUGAGUUUGAUCCUGGUAAAAACAAACAAAAAACAACCUCUAAACAAGCACUUGGGAGGCUGAGGCAGGAGGAUGGACACCAAUUUGAGGCCAGUUGAAGCUUCUUAGUGAGUUCAAGGCCAGUUGAACUACAUACCCAGACCCUAUCUCAAAACAAAUAAAGGGGAAGAGGAAGUGGGAAGGAUAGGGGAAAGAGGGGAAUGGAAUUAAUAUGAGAAAAUGAAAAAAUGGAAACAGUCUUUGUAAACAGG